rnacentral:rRNA from 1 species
CCUACGGGGGGCAGCAGUGGGGAAUAUUGCGCAAUGGGCGAAAGCCUGACGCAGCGACGCCGCGUGAGGGAUGAAGGUCUUCGGAUCGUAAACCUCUGUCAGCAGGGAAGAACGGUCACUGUGCUAAUCAGCCGUGAAUUGACGGUACCUGCAAAGGAAGCACCGGCUAACUCCGUGCCAGCAGCCGCGGUAAUACGGAGGGUGCGAGUGUUAAUCGGAAUUACUGGGCGUAAAGCGCUCGUAGGCGGUAUGUCAAGUCAGGUGUGAAAUCCCCGCGCUCAACGUGGGAACUGCCUUUGAAACUGGCAGACUGGAGUGUGUGAGAGGAUAGUGGAAUUCCAGGUGUAGGGGUGAAAUGCGUAGAUAUCUGGAGGAACAUCAGUGGCGAAGGCGGCUAUCUGGCCCAUAACUGACGCUGAGGAGCGAAAGCGUGGGUAGCAAACAGGAUUAGAUACCCCUGUAGUC